UUGCAGAGAUAAUGGAGGAAGUAAAAGCAUUCCAGAGAAACAACAUGGUUCACUUAUGUGCUAUACGAAUAGUUGAAGGCUAAUUAGCAGGAUAACUAUUAAGUAGUCAUACUGCCAGUCUCCUUCAGACAAAA
rnacentral:snoRNA from 1 species